rnacentral:lncRNA from 1 species
AGUGGGUAUAAUUUUCAGUUGGGUUAAGUUUGGACCGGGUAUGUGGGCAGCCCAACAGUCCCCCCACUCCUCUCCCUCUCACCCUCACCCGUCUCUCCCCUCUCUCCCUCACCCGUGCACCCCGACCAAUCGGAGACCAAGCCUCUGACCGCCAUAGAUCGAAAUCUUUGGCUCAUCUUGUAGCCCUCAUCUCAAAAGGAAUUAGUCUAAUUCGAUCUUGUUAGGGUGAAAUGUAUAAUUGAAGUUCUAGGGAUUUAUGGAUGUUUUGGUUCUAUUACCCUAGUUAGGCUUAGAAAUGGACUUUGUGCUAGUUAAGGAAGCUGUUGUGCUGGUUGAGAGGAGUGUUGUGUUAACAUUUGAGAAGCAUUGGAGGUCGGCGGAAUACGGGAAUGCAUAAAUCUUUUCGAAAAGAUUAGGGGCAGUUUUUCAUGUUUUUUGGUUUGUUUUCAUGAGAGGAGUUUAAUGAAGUAUAAUUUGAAAUUUUUGGAGGAGUUUUGAUAAGGUUUGGAAUUUUUCAUUGGUUAAGGUUUGUGGCGGUUGUUAGUUUGGAAUUUCGGCAGUCGGUUUAGCAGGUUUUAAAGUCUAAAAAGGUUAAAUAAUGGCUUUCGGUAAGUGCGGAGUAAUGUGAGCCUUGUUAGGUAGAAAGUGGAGAAGUUGGGCAAGAGAAAUGAAAUUAUAGGCUUUCUUUUUUUAUUUCGGAAAUUUUAUUAAAGUUUUGUCCUGGUCUGGAGGCUUAAUAAUUAUUUAUUGUUUAGGACGUGAGGAGGAUCAUUUAGAGGAAGCCUCGGGUCAUCGGCAGGCAUAGCCGAGCACGAUGAGUGGACCCUUGAUUUGAAUGUUAUGCAUGCUCCAAAGUUUAAUUAAUUUCAAAGGCAUAUUGGAGAUUUAAUGUGUUGUGAGCAUAUUGGAGUUUUAUUAUUUUUCAUUGGAUUUAAUGAGUCCUAUUUUAUUUUCGAGAACUCUCUUGCUCAUUUUAUUUGACAUGUGGGACAUGUCAAGUGAUUUAUAUUAUUUUUGGGGAAGUGAUAUUCUUGAUCAUAUAUUAUUUUUACUUCACCAUAAAAGGGUUGAUUUAUACUGAUUAUUGCUAGCUGACCUUAUUAGCGGUUCACAUCAUAUGUGAGUCGCUAUUAUAGCCUUAUUACUGGUCUUCUUCAUAUGUGAGUAGAGCGCGUAGCGUGGGACGCUAUUAUAGCCUGGCCUAGGAGGCAACCGAUCGGUAUAUAUUUAUAUAUAUGAGGGCCCUUCCAUUGAGGGAUCCCUAUUUUUGACUAUUUCUAGGGAUAGGGCGUUACACCAACUUCCCGAUCAAAUUUUUGCAUCUACACCGUUCAAUUCAUUGGGUUAUAUGAGUAGAUCAUUUCUACAAAUUUUCAGAUAAUUUAGUGAUCGUUAACCCAUUCAAAACUUCGAUUUAUUUUUAAUGAUCUUGAACGGUCCAGGUUUGAUAUAGAGUGUGUAACUUUUUGUUUUAAUCUCAGCCAUCCAAUCUCAUUAAAUGACAGAUCCAAUGAUAUGGGUUUAUCCCUAAAAGUGACUAAAAAUAGGGAUCCCUCAAUA